UGAGGAAUAUUGGUCAAUGGGCGCAAGCCUGAACCAGCCAUCCCGCGUGCAGGAAGACGGCCCUAUGGGUUGUAAACUGCUUUUCCAGGGGGAGAAUUUUUCUGUCGUGACAGGAAUUGACGGUACCCUGGGAAUAAGCAUCGGCUAACUCCGUGCCAGCAGCCGCGGUAAUACGGAGGAUGCGAGCGUUAUCCGGAUUUAUUUGGUUUAAAGGGUGCGUAGGCGGAUUGAUAAGUCAGUGGUGAAAACCUGCAGCUUAACUGUAGACUUGCCGUUGAUACUGUCAGUCUUGAGUGUGGUCAAUGUAGGCGGAAUGUGUAAUGUAGCGGUGAAAUGCUUAGAUAUUACACAGAACACCGAUUGCGAAGGCAGCUUACUGGGCCAUUACUGACGCUGAUGCACGAAAGCGUGGGGAUCGAACA
rnacentral:rRNA from 1 species